UUACGUCCAUAUCACGUUAAAACACCUCUUCUCGUACGAUCACCGAGGUUAAGCAAUGUCGAGCCUGGUCAGUACCCAAAUGGGUGACCGCUUGUGCAUACUCGGCGUUGUAAG